UCUUAUGCAUGAGCAAAGAAAGUGGUUUCUUGAGGUAGAAUCCACUCCGGGUAAAGAUGUUGUGAA
rnacentral:pre_miRNA from 1 species